rnacentral:rRNA from 1 species
UUAGAUACCCCACUAUGCCACGACGUAAACCACGACCCUUCCCUCCGCCUGAAAAUUACGGGCACAUUUUAGCCUAAAACUCAAAAGACUUGACGGUGCCCCAACCUACCUAGAGGAGCCUGUUCCAUAAUCGAUAACCCCCGAUCAACCCGACCACCCCUUGUAUUUCCAGCCUAUAUACCGCCGUCAUCUUUAGCUUACCUUUUGAAAGCUUUACCGUAAGCACAAUUGUUUAAAACUAAAAAGUCAGGUCAAGGUGUAGCUAAUGCGGUGGCGCCAAUGGGCUACAUUAUCUGCAACAGAUAACUUUACGGCUUUGUCUUUGAAACAAGACACUAAAGGCGGAUUUAGCAGUAAAUUAAGCAAUUGUACUUACUUUAACCCUCUGCUCUGGGACAUGUACACACCGCCCGUCACCC